GAUUAAAGGAAAAUGAUACACGGAAGCGCCGCACCAGCGAAGGAAGCGUGCGACGGAAAAAAGUCAUCCGUCUCCCUAAGAGCCACGCGUGGAGUGCUCUCAACCACAGAACCCCUACCAGAACUCCUUUCCUCUUCUAAAAAACACAGGACCACUCAUUCUCUCUCUCAGAAGUCAGAACACCAGCACGGAAAGCGUUGCUUGGGGAGGUUAGAGGAAACGGCCGCCGCCGGACAUGCAACCGGCGAGCCGCGGCGAGGAGGAGGCGCGACCUAGGGAGUGCUCCGCCUGGACGCAGCCGAUGAGCGCGAGGAGGAGCCGCUACCCCAGGGAGUGCUCCGCCCGGCCGUCGCCGGCGAGCGCCAAGAGGAGUUGCGCAGGGAGGGCUCUGCCGGCCCUUCGUUGGUGAGCACGAGAAGCCGGCGCGUCGCAGGGAGAUCUCCGUCGGGCUACCGCUGAUGAGUGCGAGGAGGAUACGCUGCCGACGCUAGCACAAACCGGGGGGAGAGCUCCGCUGCCGUCGAGCUUGAGGAGGAUGUUGCCGCCGUCGAGCUCGAGUUUGAUCAUUGGAUGUUGUUGUUGAGCGUGAGGAGGAGCCGCGAGCGCGAAGCGGGGAGGGCUCCGCCAGGCUGUCGUCGACGGGCGCGAGCUAGACACAGCUGACGAACAUGAGGAGGAGGUGUACAAGCACGCAGCGGCGAGCUCGACACCGACGACUAGCACGCCGGCGAGAUUUGUGGUGGAUGAGCACGGAUUUUCCCCCUACUACUACAUCUGGUUUUGCUAAUUAGCCGAGCAUAGAGCAGCGCUGGAGGCCGGCUACGCCGAGCGUGGAGUCGCAUAGGAGGCUUUCACCGCCGCCAAGCACGGAGCAGCGCUGAAGGAUUCCGUUGCCGCCGAGCACAGAGCUUCCAUGGGGGCCGCUGCCACAGCUCAGUGCGUGGUUGGAGCAUAUGGCUUAAUUAUUUAAGGAAUUAGGCUUAAUCAAUCUGGUAAUUAGGUUCAAUUAAUCUAGCAGUUCGUACCCGAUUAAUGAGACUGCAAUUACUCCGCAAGGACUAACUAACCGGACAACUAGGCAUAACUAACCGGGCAAUUUGUAUCCAAUUAAUCCAGAAAUUAGUACUAACAAUUGAGCAUGUCUUUGAACUCCUAAUUAUCACUUUACUUAGUACUCUGGCAAUUCUUCCUUUAAAUCUGGUAGUUAAGCCUAAUUAAUCUGGCAGUUAAGCCGAAUUAACUGAGUAGUUGAUUUUUCAUGAUCAUUUUUGUAAGACAUGCAUGCUUUGCACUUAUUUGUGAGACAUGCAAGCACUGCCUACUUUUACCAAUAUUUAA